rnacentral:rRNA from 1 species
UACGUAGGGUGCAAGCGUUGUCCGGAAUUAUUGGGCGUAAAGAGCUCGUAGGCGGUCUGUCGCGUCGGCUGUGAAAACCCGGAGCUCAACUCCGGGCCUGCAGUCGAUACGGGCAGACUGGAGUUCGGCAGGGGAGACUGGAAUUCCUGGUGUAGCGGUGAAAUGCGCAGAUAUCAGGAGGAACACCGGUGGCGAAGGCGGGUCUCUGGGCCGAUACUGACGCUGAGGAGCGAAAGCGUGGGGAGCAAACAGG